rnacentral:rRNA from 1 species
UACGAAGGGGGCUAGCGUUGCUCGGAAUCACUGGGCGUAAAGCGCACGUAGGCGGAUCUUUAAGUCAGGGGUGAAAUCCUGGAGCUCAACUCCAGAACUGCCCUUGAUACUGGGGAUCUUGAGUCCGGAAGAGGUGAGUGGAACUGCGAGUGUAGAGGUGAAAUUCGUAGAUAUUCGCAAGAACACCAGUGGCGAAGGCGGCUCACUGGCCCGGUACUGACGCUGAGGUGCGAAAGCGUGGGGAGCAAACAGG